rnacentral:rRNA from 1 species
GAUGAACGCUGGCGGCGUGCCUAAUACAUGCAAGUCGAGCGAACAGACGAGGAGCUUGCUCCUCUGACGUUGGCGGCGGACGGGUGAGUAACACGUGGAUAACCUACCUAUAAGACUGGGAUAACUUCGGGAAACCGGAGCUAAUACCGGAUAAUAUAUUGAACCGCAUGGUUCAAUAGUGAAAGACGGUUUUGCUGUCACUUAUAGAUGGAUCCGCGCCGCAUUAGCUAGUUGGUAAGGUAACGGCUUACCAAGGCAACGGUGCGUAGCCGACCUGAGAGGGUGAUCGGCCACACUGGAACUGAGACACGGUCCAGACUCCUACGGGAGGCAGCAGUAGGGAAUCUUCCGCAAUGGGCGAAAGCCUGACGGAGCAACGCCGCGUGAGUGAUGAAGGUCUUCGGAUCGUAAAACUCUGUUAUUAGGGAAGAACAAAUGUGUAAGUAACUAUGCACGUCUUGACGGUACCUAAUCAGAAAGCCACGGCUAACUACGUG